rnacentral:rRNA from 1 species
UAGAGUUUGAUCAUGGCUCAGAACGAACGCUGGCGGCAGGCUUAACACAUGCAAGUCGARCGCUCCGCAAGGRGAGYGGCAGACGGGUGAGUAACAGCGUGGGAAUCUACCCUUUWCUACGGAAYAACGCAKGGAAACUUGUGCUAAUACCGUAUGUGYCCUUYGGGRGAAAGAUUUAUCGGKAAAGGAUGAGCCCGCGUUGGAUUAGCUAGUUGGUGGGGUAAAGGCCUACCAAGGCGACGAUCCAUAGCUGGUCUGAGAGGAUGAUCAGCCACAUUGGGACUGAGACACGGCCCAAACUCCUACGGGAGGCAGCAGUGGGGAAUAUUGGACAAUGGGCGCAAGCCUGAUCCAGCCAUGCCGCGUGAGUGAUGAAGGCCCUAGGGUUGUAAAGCUCUUUCACCGGAGAAGAUAAUGACGGUAUCCGGAGAAGAAGCCCCGGCUAACUUCGUGCCAGCAGCCGCGGUAMAUGUACGGUAAGAAUAAGGAUCGGCUAACUC